GUAGGUGAACCUGCGGAAGGAUCAUUAUUAGAUUAGUUGCAUAUUUGCAAUCUUUUUCACCCACCCCGAGUGUAUUCUCGCUGUGCAUAUAGUGCGCGAGUCUUUUUCUUUUACACAACUCAUUGACACCAUUACCAAUCCUAGCGGAUAUCUAAGCAAAAAUAAAAACAACUUUUAGCAACGGAUCUCUAGGCUCUU
rnacentral:misc_RNA from 1 species